rnacentral:rRNA from 1 species
AAAGACUUGACGGUACUUCACAACAACCUAGAGGAGCCUGUCUAAUAACCGAUACCCCACGAUUAACCGCACCUACUCUAGCCCAAUCAGUCUAUAUACCGCCGUCGCCAGCCUACCUUAUGAAAGAAAUAAAGUAAGCACAACAAGACCACCCCUAACACGACAGGUCGAGGUGUAACUAAUGAGUAGGAAAAAGAUGGACUACAUUUUCUAACACAGAAUAUACGAAUAAACUAUGAAACUAGAAACUGAAGGCGGAUUUAGCAGUAUGAUAAGAAUAGAAUGCCUAACUGAAACCAAUGCAAUGAAGUGCGUACACACCGCCCGUCAUCCCUG